rnacentral:sRNA from 1 species
UUCACAAUACUAGAGGGCUCUGGCAUUCACUCCACAGAACAGGUACAGCCUGAGCAGUGGCAAUACAAGAUUCACCACAAGACUCUGCCAGUGUGCUUUAUUCUUCAGGAAUCACCAUUAAGGGAAAAAAGAAUAGUUUACUUUUUAUUUUCAGUCAAUUCUGGGUGUCU